rnacentral:rRNA from 1 species
CACAUGCAAGUCGAACGAGGUUAGAAAGCUUGCUUUUGAUACCUAGUGGCGGACGGGUGAGUAAUGCUUAGGAAUCUGCCUAGUAGUGGGGGAUAACUUGGGGAAACUCAAGCUAAUACCGCAUACGACCUACGGGUGAAAGGGGGCGCAAGCUCUCGCUAUUAGAUGAGCCUAAGUCGGAUUAGCUAGUUGGUGGGGUAAAGGCCUACCAAGGCGACGAUCUGUAGCUGGUCUGAGAGGAUGAUCAGCCACACUGGGACUGAGACACGGCCCAGACUCCUACGGGAGGCAGCAGUGGGGAAUAUUGGACAAUGGGCGAAAGCCUGAUCCAGCCAUGCCGCGUGUGUGAAGAAGGCCUUUUGGUUGUAAAGCACUUUAAGUGGGGAGGAAAAGUUAAUGGUUAAUACCCAUUAGCCCUGACGUUACCCACAGAAUAAGCAC